rnacentral:rRNA from 1 species
UACGUAGGGGGCAAGCGUUAUCCGGAUUUACUGGGUGUAAAGGGAGCGUAGGCGGCCAUGUAAGUCAGAAGUGAAAGCCCGGGGCUCAACCCCGGGACUGCUUUUGAGACUGUGUGGCUGGAGUGUCGGAGGGGUAAGUGGAAUUCCUAGUGUAGCGGUGAAAUGCGUAGAUAUUAGGAGGAACACCAGUGGCGAAGGCGAUUCUCGGGACUGUAACUGACGCUGAGGCUCGAAAGCGUGGGGAGCAAACAGG